rnacentral:rRNA from 1 species
AUGUCAGCUUCCAAGGCUUCGUCAUCAGGAUAUGUAAAUGAUGCAUGGCCAAGCUCAGAUGCUGACGGAGUCGUGCACAUUCCGCUGAAUCUCACAAAGAUAACCAUUGGUAAAUGCCCUCAUCUAAUAUUUGAGGGGAGUAGGGAAGAUUUGGUUGGAUUUACCUCCCUUGAUGAAGAUGCCCAAGAGGAGGGAAGAUGUCUCCUCCCACAAUCACUCGAUCAACUUGUUUGGACUGGUUGUCCCCAAAAGACAAUGCGGCCCUGCUUUGUGGGAAAUCCCACGUGCCUUAGAAAAUUGGAAUUAAAUGAAGUUUGGAAUAUUUACAGGUGGAUUCCUGUACGGCGUUAG